rnacentral:lncRNA from 1 species
GGUAAAUGUGAUGGUGGUGUGAUGGUUAAUAUUGGGGUGCGCAUCAGAUGUGAUUACAGUAGGAAUCACAAACAAGCAGCUCCCACCCAGGGGAAGAUGUUCUACUGAAGUCUACACUUUCCCGUUUCCAGCUUCUAACUGGACCUGUGAGUGAAACGUGAUGGAGGAGAAUAAUUACAUGUACUUACAUGGCUGUGACUAGACUUCACUCACACAAAAGCAGUUAACGAAGGACAAGGCAAGUGUAGCCAUUGGCAGUCCAAGUUCAGGACAUCCUGUCACCUUGCAGAACUGUGCAAAUGAAUGCUCAGAUCAUUUGCAGAGAUCACUGUAGAAGGAACCUCAUUCUGCUGGAACCUCGCCCUCAGACAGUUAAUCUACUAUAGACCUUCAGCAGUAACGUGCAAUAUGAAAAUAAAAACUAUCACACACGGUGUAUGUCAAACUGAGAAAGAAUGCGGCAAGGACCAGCCACAAUCAAAGAUUCUGUUUGGAAGAAGCUGUAGGUGACACCGGUGCUGACCAACUUCUGCAUUCACACACCAGCUGAAGAAACAAGAGUCCCAUGGGCACGGUGGGUCUGAGUUGUCAACAUACAAAGGUCAGAGGACCCUGUAAUUUUUUUCACUACAGCUCAGAAGCCAGAACAUUUGGGCUCAUUCUAGAGCAGAGACUCCCGAUUGUAGCUCGUUUCAUUAUCCCUGCUGAGAAUGAAUUUUUAAAAUAAAACUGAAAUCCUGUAACAC